GUUCUAGUCAUUUAACCGUAAACCAUUCAAUCCGAUUUAAAUACGUAGAAACUGGCGCGCACACAAAUAACGUCGACGGGAGUGGCAGCCAAUUUAACUCCGCGAGAUGUUUUUUUUCGUUUGAAAUCUAGCGCCGUAUCUUGGUUAUUUUUCAACGUACGCUUGUGUAAUCUCCACUAUUAUACAUAGGUCUAUUAGGGGCACUUCAUAAUAUUAAAAGUACCCCCCCCUUCUGAUUUUUGGAUCAAGUAUAUCUCGGCGGGAUUUAGUGAUAGGAGAGCGGUUUUAACGCCAACAAAUUUGGCUUCGUACUCCACACAAGCCCUCUUCAUAGUUUGACUCCGUAAAAUCCUUCCCAAGGAACUAGUCUGAAAUUCGUCCAAUCACCAUCAAACUUUGGAUAUGGUCCCUAGAUCACCUAUAAACUAUCCUCAUACAAUUUAAUGUCGAUUGGAAUGGAUUGAAAAAAGGAAUUUUGCUCCUAAGUACCUAUAGUUGGUGUGUUACUUAUAUUUAACGAAGUUAUCCUCCCCACCGAAUUUCAAGAAAUUUCUGAUAUAUAAUAUUUCCAAAACUAACAUAACGUACAUGGACGGUUAUCAAUAAAUAUAUUACUAAACAAAUUGCGUACCCCUCUUUGACAAUAAGUUAUUUUAAUUACCUACUAUUUUGGAUGUACCUAGAGACUAAGAAAUACACAAAACAGAAAACCCAAACUUUAUGAAGUUUUCCCCUGAUAACUUCUAAACGAAUUUUGUCCCACUUUUUUUUUACAUUUUUAAUAUGUACGCGAA